rnacentral:rRNA from 1 species
AGAACGAACGCUGGCGGCAUGCCUAAUACAUGCAAGUCGAACGAACACUUCGGUGUUAGUGGCGCACGGGUGCGUAACGCGUGGGAAUCUGCCCUUGGGUUCGGAAUAACAGUUGGAAACGACUGCUAAUACCGGAUGAUAUCGAAAGAUCAAAGAUUUAUCGCCCAGGGAUGAGCCCGCGUAGGAUUAGCUAGUUGGUGAGGUAAAGGCUCACCAAGGCGACGAUCCUUAGCUGGUCUGAGAGGAUGAUCAGCCACACUGGGACUGAGACACGGCCCAGACUCCUACGGGAGCAGCAGUAGGGAAUAUUGGACAAUGGGCGCAAGCCUGAUCCAGCAAUGCCGCGUGAGUGAUGAAGGCCUUAGGGUUGUAAAGCUCUUUUACCCGAGAUGAUAAUGACAGUAUCGGAAGAAAUAAGCCCCGGACUAACUCCGUGCCAGCAGCCG